rnacentral:rRNA from 1 species
AUUAAUUCGAUGCAACGCGAAGAACCUUACCAAGGCUUGACAUACACCGGAAACGGCCAGAGAUGGUCGCCCCCUUGUGGUCGGUGUACAGGUGGUGCAUGGUUGUCGUCAGCUCGUGUCGUGAGAUGUUGGGUUAAGUCCCGCAACGAGCGCAACCCUCGUUCUAUGUUGCCAGCGCGUUAUGGCGGGGACUCAUAGGAGACUGCCGGGGUCAACUCGGAGGAAGGUGGGGAUGACGUCAAAUCAUCAUGCCCCUUAUGUCUUGGGCUUCACGCAUGCUACAAUGGCCGGUACAAAGGGCUGCGAUACCGUAAGGUGGAGCGAAUCCCAAAAAGCCGGUCUCAGUUCGGAUUGAGGUCUGCAACUCGACCUCAUGAAGUCGGAGUCGCUAGUAAUCGCAGAUCAGCAACGCUG